GAUGAUCAUUGAAUUCCACCAAAGUUUCCAAAGGGACGUUUUCUCGAUCACUGUCCAUCUCGUCAUCUCCAAUUUCUUCGGAAUCUUCUUCAUCCUCUGACUCAGGUGCUGCUCCCUUCAGCAUGCUUGCAUAAGUUCUAGUGUUGUGCCCUUCAUCAUGGAUGUCUUCCAUCCAGUCUUCAUGUCUGGGUGUCUUGCUCCCUAUUGGGAGGUUUGUGCUCGUUGGGCCAUGAGCCUUGAUAUCUGCAGAUUAGAAUUCACAGUACGGAGAGAAAAACAACUUGCUAACAUCUCAUUUUCACCGGCCUAUUAUUUUAGCAAAAGUCCAACCAUUUAGGGUGUUAAACAAGACAGCCCGAUAGGCAAUGUGCAUUUUGAUAGCCUUGUUUUUUUUAAGUCAGGACCUACUUUUCUCUAACUAUUAGUUUUCAAUCAAUGGCCCAGCUACUGUGAUGUGGACC